CUCCGAAGGAUUCUCGUUCUGUCUUAUGAACAAUCAAACCUACCAAAGCGAGAAAGCAUGUUGGUUUGACUGGUUGGGAAUACAUAUAUCAAGGAAAUAUUUCACUAGCUGCAAUUUAUUCCUUUAAUUUAUGUAGCAUUUUCACCGGGGGAGCAAAGUGACAACUGGCUGAUAGAUCCUCGUGCGAUCUGACAUAUUGAAUGUUGUGCUGCAAAUAAGCCGGCAUCGUGAAGGUAGCUGUUUUAUAACAAUUUUACGAAUAUUAUUACUAGUUUUCCGAAAUAUUUGCAAUGAAAGCUAUAACACAACGUGUCAACUCAGCGAAAGUGAUGGGUUUGUAUCCGUUUCAAAGCUUCAUUGUUCUUCUAGAUCCAUAACGAAAACACGCGGCUUUGCAGCUGGUGACGAAACAGUAAGCUCGAUUGGCCGUGGACUAUGUAUGCUAGUAGGCAUUUCAUCCGAUAACGAUGCAAAUGAUAUCGAUUGGAAAUGGUUCCGCCUACUUAUAGCGCACGAAAGUUCCUCAAUCUACGGCUGUUCGAUGAGACAGCUACCGGAAACCGGUGGACAGAAUCGUUGGCUGCACCUGGAAAUACUGUGCGUUAGUCUGAUUGCGCUGUACCAUCGUUCGAAGGGUAACAGACCGGACUUUAGUCGAGCCAUGCAGUGACAGGAUGCACAUCAGCCGUACAGAUUGUUGCUGAAGCAGUUACGCGAACAGUGCAUUUUACAUAGGACGGUCGGCUUAGGACAAUGAUACCGGUAUACAUUCAAAACGACGGCCCCGUUACGCAGGAAAUCGAAUGAGAAAAUCGCACAGAGUGAACAAGAGUGCCAAAAGCUAAGGCGAACGAUGGACCUUAAAACCAAAUCAUCGGCAAACCAGACGGCAGCGUAGAAAGAACCGUGAAAAAUUUUACCAGUGCAGAAUGAAAAUCGAACUGUCUUGUUUUGGACGAAGAAAUUGGCCACAUUUGUAGAAUUUCGUCGCAGGAAAUGACUAUCAUCCAUACUAUGCGAUUAGCCAUCUGUCAAUUUACACCCCGGUGAAAAUGGUACACAUAUUAAUGGAAUAAAUUUGAAAUAUUUCCUUGAAAUACUUACCUUAUGAAAGAUUUUCUUGAAAUAAUUUAUGAAAGAAUUCAAUUAAGUGCUACCUCUUUGGUGGGAUGCUCUCUUGGUGUUAAAAAAUCGUUUUGGAUUUUUGUCGCUUCCAUCUCGCUUGUGGCAAAAUCGAACGGUGGUUUAUGUUACCUCUUUUGUAGGAUGCUUUCUUGUUAAAAUUUUUGCAUCGAUCACUAAUACCAAUAGAACCGCUAGAGGAGAGAAGUC